GGAGCAGUCCGCCGCCUCCCUCCGAGCGCAGGACGCUCCGACGCCCGCUUGCCCGCAGGCCACCGCAGCCUAAGGUGUGGGGAAGGCUCCCUCUCUGGAGGAGCAGGUCGGAAGACCUCGGUGCAAAAGCAGGGACCCCCUGGCUGACCCUGUUCUCCCUCUGCAAAAUAAAGGAACCCCACCGGUGCAGAACCGUGCCACUGCACCCAUAAGACAGCCCGAGGCUCCUGGCAGACCCUUGACUGAAAGUGGCAACUCCCUCUGGACUGUGUGAGGGCCAGGGGUGAGAGGGUGACAGCAGGAAGAGGCCACCACCCAAGGACAGCUCUGAGCCGGAAUCCUGGAGGAAACGUUAUUAAUAAACAUCUUCUGGACAUUUGGCAGCCCGUGGAGCUUGCUCCAGCUUAAAGCAAUUAAUUCAGGACACCGACAUCAACUCUCCAGGUCUUUGACAGCUUGGAGCCGAAAUAAAAAUGCUAGUUCUCCGGGGAAGAGGGGAGGAGGGCCCGCUCUUUGCUGGACUGUUUGCUUAUGGGCCCAGCGAGCAACCUUCCCUGCAGAAUGAAAUGCAAGGUCGCACACAACGAACCGGCAGAGAAUAGAAGAUGGGAACGAACAGUUUGAACUAUUUGCUCAGCAGAAGGGCACCACAAUGCUGGGGUAGUGGCUUUCCCAUGCAUCCACUGUCCCUUCUUUGGGAUCUUUUGUUGUCCCGUCUCCUUUGGCCAGAUAAGAACACAGCUGCAGCCUUGUGGCUAAGUAAGGCUUCACUUAUCCCCUUAAAUCUCGGGGUGUCUUUUACUGUACCAGGCAUAGAUCAGUUCUUUCUUUUGACCAGGGGACUGGGAGGGAGGGAAGGAAGAAUUGAGGGGGAGGGAACAGACGGAAGACUCUCACAUUGCUGAUGUCUGGUUCAUGCCUUUCUUUCUCUCCUUUUUAAAUCCAAGCUGGGAUAAGAUGUGAUCUUUGUGGGCCAGUUUUAUUAAAGGGUCAGUGUUUUGUGCCAAAAUGUUGCCUCUGGGUGAGAGCUGUGUGUGUAUGCUGUGUAGGGAAGAGUAGUUUUUAAAACUGAGUGUCAAGCCAUUUUCAGAUUCCGUCAGCUGCUAAAAUAGGGCAGAAUUUGAAGGAGUUAAUUUAAAAAUUAUUCAACUGCAAUAGUAAGUUUCUGAAUAUGAAUUUGGGUUCUUCCUCUGGCAGUUCAUUUGUUCCAAAGUGUGUAAUGGUGGUGUAUCAUAUUCGAAAGAGGUUGACCCAGAGAUGGGGCAUAAACGUGCUUCUGUACUUGCUGGAAAUUACACUUAUUCCCAGAGUAAAUUCCACCUCCAGCAUCAGUAAUGUGCUCUCUCCUACAUGCACCCUCGUACAAAGCACAGCUUGUUUUAACCACCACAAAAGAAAGUGGACACAUGCAUAGCCUUCCGUUUAUAUCGAAGUUGACAUUUCUGAAGUUAUUUUAAAGACAAAAAUUGAACUGAGUCUUUGUGCUGCUGGAUGCUGUCUUCUGACUCCAUGGACUUUACCACUAGUUGGGAGUGAGGCUCCUCUGACUCUUAAUUCUAUUGUAAUAAGGCUGAUUUAGCAUGAAUGGUCUUACAAGGUGAAAAGGCAAAAAAAGUUUUAUGCCAAAGAAAAUGCUUUGCUAUGAGUGCAUGAAACAUUCGCCAUCCAAAGUCCAUGUGCUCCCAGUAAGUUUGGGGACUUUGAAUGCUUGAAUGUCUGUGUCACGUCUGUUUUCCCACUAACAAAACUGGUAGGGAAAAACCUCUUCCCUAUGAUUUUUUCCUGCUGGGUGGUCAGAGGGAAAGGCCAGGAAGCCAAAGGCCUCCCAUUGAGACACUCCUCUGUAAGAAGCGACCUCACAUGGUGCCUCUGGGGCACCUGUUCAUCUCUGCUCACUGUGGGGGUGUGCUGUGAGCCCAGCAGCCAGAGGCCACGUGUCAACUCCCACUCCUGCUAGAGGGCUCUCCUGCAGGGAAACUGCCACCAACAACAUAGUCACCACACACGGCCUCUAAACUGUACACAGGCAGAGCUGGGAAGUGAUUUUGAUGGCAGUGAGUAUUAUAUGAGUACUAUAUUCAUGUGUGUGUGUGUGUGUGUGUGUGUGUAGGGAGAAAGAGAUAUCUUUUGAAAGAGACAUUUGCAAAUGUUUGAUGACAUUUAUGAACAGACCAAAAUAAAGACUCGUAUCAAACGUG
rnacentral:lncRNA from 1 species